CACACACGGACUUCGGCUUCUACCCGGGAGAAAUCCGGCUGAUGCCUCCGGUGGCUACCGGGGCUCAUGGCCCCUGUCGUCCAAAGGUCCGUGGAGGUUGAACCGGAAAAGGAAAAGA
rnacentral:sRNA from 1 species